rnacentral:rRNA from 1 species
UUGACCCCCCGAAACUAAGCGAGCUACUUCGGGACAGCCUUUUGGGCUAACCCGUCUCUGUUGCAAAAGAGUGGGGAGAGCCCCAAGUAGCGGUGACAAGCCUACACUCAAGAAAAGGAUUUUAGUCCAACCUAAAACCAAAAUAAUUUUACGAAAUAAAAUCUUGAUUUUAGUGUCACUCAGACGGGGUACAGCUCAUCUGAGACAGGGCACAACCUCAAACAACGGGUAAUCUUGCGUACACUAGUGACUAUGUUGGCCUAAAAGCAGCCACCAAAUAAACAGCGUUAAAGCUUCAUCAUUUUGUGUUAAUAAUCCCACAACCCACAACCAGCCCUUCAACAGUAUUGAGUAGUUUUAUACCGAUAUAAAACUUAUUAUGUUAAAACUAGUAACAAGAAGAAGGCCUUCUCUUUAAUGCCCCCUUAAAUCAGUACGGACAAACCACUGAUAAUUAACGUCCCUGACCCCCCUGUAAAAACUUCAACAAGAAAAACUUACUGACCCCACCGUUAACCUAACACAAGAGCAUUCCAAGAAAGAUUAUAAAAAAAAGAAGGAACUCGGCAAACACCCGCCUCGCCUGUUUACCAAAAACACCGCCUCUUGUAAACAUAAGAGGUCCAGCCUGCCCAGUGACAAUGUUCAACGGCCGCGGUACCCUGACCGUGCGAAGGUAGCGUAAUCACUUGCCCCCUAAUUAGGGGCUAGUAUGAAUGGCUACACGAAGGCUAAACUGUCUCCUUUUUUAGAUCAGUGAAACUAAUCCCCCCGUGAAGAAGCGGGGACACACCUAUAAGACGAGAAGACCCUAUGGAGCUUAAAACGAAGCAACAAUUGCAAAGCCUAUAUUAAAAAUAACCCGACAGGACAGCUCAAUGAUUGCUAGUUUUGGGUUGGGGCAACCACGGAGAAAAAUAAAACCCCCGCGUUGAAAAGAACACGACCUUAAGCAAAAAGCUACAACUUUAAGCAUCAACAAAUUGACGACAUUGACCCAAUAUUUUGACCAACGAAACAAGUUACCCUAGGGAUAACAGCGCUAUCUACUUCGAGAGCACACAUCUACAAGUAGGCUUACGACCUCGAUGUUGGAUCAGGGUACCCCAGUGGUGUAGCAGCUUCUUAAGGUUCGUUUGUUCAACGAUUAAAACCCU